UAGGGAAUCUUCGGCAAUGGACGAAAGUCUGACCGAGCAACGCCGCGCGAGUGAAGAAGGUUUUCGGAUCGUAAAACUCUGUCGUUAGAGAAGAACAAGGACGUUAGUAACUGAACGUCCCCUGACGGUAUCUAACCAGAAAGCCACGGCUAACUACGUGCCAGCAGCCGCGGUAAUACGUAGGUGGCAAGCGUUGUCCGGAUUUAUUGGGCGUAAAGCGAGCGCAGGCGGUUUCUUAAGUCUGAUGUGAAAGCCCCCGGCUCAACCGGGGAGGGUCAUUGGAAGCUGGGAGACUUGAGUGCAGAAGAGGAGAGUGGAAUUCCGUGUGGAGCGGUGAAAUGCGUAGAUAUAUGGAGGAACACCAGUGGCGAGGGCGGCUCUCUGGUCUGUAACUGACGCUGAGGCUCGAAAGCGUGGGGAGCAAACAGG
rnacentral:rRNA from 1 species